rnacentral:misc_RNA from 1 species
CCUAUACGACUAACUCGAUGCUUGGUCGAAAAAUGCUCCUGCAUUUUCGACAUUCGGUACAUCCGUGUACCUUUUGAGUGUUCACACAGAUUUGCUUGAUAGAAGAAAGAGUAAAAGAUGGGUCUGUAGCUUAACUGGUUAGCACCCCAAUCCCCUCAUAAAGAGUAGGGUGAGGUCGGUGGUUCUGGAUGGUUGUAGAUUUAUCAAUAAGAUGGGUCUGUAGCUCAGCUGGUUAGAGCGCACCCCUGAUAAGGGUGAGGUCGGUGGUUCAAGUCCACUCUGACCCACCAAUCCUUCCUUCUCAGCGUUGGAAAGUGACUCGUUUAGUGAACUAAACGUCGCCACUGUCCGCCUUGAUAAGAAAUGAUUGGCAAACCAAUCCUUUAAGAGGUUUGGAACAUCUUAUUUACUCGCACUGCAUGUAAAUGGGGCUAUAGCUCAGCUGGGAGAGCGCCUGCCUUGCACGCAGGAGGUCUGCGGUUCGAUCCCGCAUAGCUCCACCAUUUACUGCAUUAUGGUUAGAGAUGCCAAAGAUAAACUGAAAAAUUAUCUUUGGCUUUUUUAAGCCCGCUCUUUAACAAUUUGGAAAGCUGAUAGUAUUAAACACAAUGAUGUCCUGUCGUUGUGUUGAUACGAAAAAAGAUUAAUGCGAAAGCAUUGAACAUUGAGUUCUCAAACACUUUAUUAAGUGUCUUGAAUAUUCAAGUCUAAGGCGCGUCCACUUCUUUGGUCAGAAGUGAGACAAGUAAAACUAAGCUGGUCGCAAUACAAUUCGAUAUGUGUUUUUUCUUAUUUCGAUAAGAUAAGCGCAGCCAAUCGCUUGUUAGGCAAGGCCGUAAGUUGAAUGACGAAUGAGUGUAGCAGCGCUACAUGAUUGAGGAAUGAGACUUGCAACGCCGCAUAACAAGAGGAGUGGCAAGCGAAAAAGAAACCUAUCUGGGUUGUAU